rnacentral:lncRNA from 1 species
CACGUCCCCGUGCGCCAUCUUGGCCCUAUGGAGACCCCACAAAGCCCCCAAUAAAUCCCACAGAUAAGCCCUCAACCUCCAGCCCCACAUGGGCUGCCUCCAUUGAGUCCCAUUGCCUCUCUGUCUCCCCCUAGUGGCCGGGUGGGGUAUUGCUAAGCUGCCCCAUUCACACAGCUGGAUCUGGAGGUAGAAGUGCCCCCUUUCUUCCCACGCAGCCCAUAAUGGGACGCAGUUCUGGUUCUGACCCGCUUUGAUAUGACGAAUGGCUUCCAGAUAAGCCCGGUGCCGGUCCGACGGGCCGCGGAAUGGACGGAUGGUUCGUUUCAAGGCGUAAAGGCGGCCGUCAACCAGGCUGCGCACCUAUAAGUGGGGGGAAAAUAGGGGUUAUGGGGCACUAUGGGGCAAUAUGGUGUGUCUAUGGGUCUCUAUGGGGCUCUAUGGGUGUCUAUGGGGCUCUAUGGGGUGUCUAUGGGGCUCUAUGGGUGUCUAUGGGGUGUCUAUGGGGCUCUAUGGGUGUCUAUGGGGCUCUAUGGGUGUCUAUGGGGCUCUAUGGGGUGUCUAUGGAGUGUCUAUGGGGCUCUAUGGGGCAAUAUGGGGUCUCUAUAGGGUUCUAUGGGGUUCUAUGGAGCUUUAUGGGGCUCUAUGGGGAUCUAUGGGUCUCUAUGGGGCUCUAUGGGGUCUCUAUGGGUGUCUAUGGGGCUCUAUGGGGUAUCUAUGGGGCUCUAUGGGUAUCUAUGGGGUGUCUAUGGGUCUCUAUGGGGCUCUAUGGGGUGUCUAUGGGGCUCUAUGGGUGUCUAUGGGGCUCUAUGGGGUAUCUAUGGGGUUCUAUGGGGCUCUAUGGGGUGUCUAUGGGGCUCUAUGGGGCAAUAUGGGUCACUAUGGGGUAUCUAUAGGGCUCUAUGGGGUAUCUAUGGGGUUCUAUGGGGUGUCUAUGGGGCUCUAUGGGGUAUCUAUGGGGCUCUAUGGGGUGUCUAUGGGGCUCUAUGGGGUAUCUAUGGGGUUCUAUGGGGUGUCUAUGGGGCUCU